GCAAAACGCGAAGAACCUUACCAGGUCUUGACAUCCCGCUGACCGGUCUAGAGAUAGACUUUUCCCUUCGGGGACAGCGGUGACAGGUGGUGCAUGGUUGUCGUCAGCUCGUGUCGUGAGAUGUUGGGUUAAGUCCCGCAACGAGCGCAACCCUUGAUCUUAGUUGCCAGCAUUCAGUUGGGCACUCUAAGGUGACUGCCGGUGAUAAACCGGAGGAAGGUGGGGAUGACGUCAAAUCAUCAUGCCCCUUAUGACCUGGGCUACACACGAGCUACAAUGGACGGUACAGAGGGUCGCAACCCCGCGAGGGUGAGCUAAUCCCAUAAAACCGUUCUCAGUUCGGAUUGUAGGCUGCAACUCGCCUACAUGAAGCCGGAAUCGCUAGUAAUCGUGGAUCAGCAUGCCACGGUGAAUACGUUCCCGGGUCUUGUACACACCG
rnacentral:rRNA from 1 species